GACUGAAGUAGUUGUCUGAGGAGGCGGAGUGCAUUAAUUGCGCUGUGUAAUUGCUGCGUUCAGGUGUGAGCAAGGGCUGAUUAAAGCCGACAUAAAAGGAGUCUGAAGGAAAGGAGAAGGAGAACGUAAUCUGCAGGUGACAGACACGGACGCGCUGCUGAGGGAGAUGCAGGCGGGAUCCGUGCGCACUGAUGGCCCAGUAAGGAGUAUUAGGGCAGAGGAGGAACCUCGCCUCUGGAUCGGUCUGGAAAGGGGUGUGGCACGCCAGGGAGUGGAACAGUGCUGGAGCGCCGCAGAGUCUGUGGAUCAGCCAGUGGGUGCUCCAGGCCGAUCACUCGCACCAGAAGCAGCAUAACAAGCGGAGCCCAACUUCCAGCCUCUGAUUUUUAAGGAAAACUCUUGAAUUUUAGGUUUUAUCAGGAGAAGAAAAGGACUGUUUUAUUAUGCCACUUUUGCUGUGGCUUUUUGUAUAAA